rnacentral:rRNA from 1 species
CCUACGGGAGGCAGCAGUGAGGAAUAUUGGUCAAUGGGCGUAAGCCUGAACCAGCCAAGUCGCGUGAGGGAUGAAGGUUCUAUGGAUCGUAAACCUCUUUUAUAAGGGAAUAAAGUGUGGGACGUGUCCUGUUUUGUAUGUACCUUAUGAAUAAGGAUCGGCUAACACCGUGCCAGCAGCCGCGGUAAUACGGAGGAUCCGAGCGUUAUCCGGAUUUAUUGGGUUUAAAGGGUGCGUAGGCGGCCUUUUAAGUAAGCGGUGAAAGUCUGUGGCUAAACCAUAGAAUUGCCGUUGAAACUGGGAGGCUUGAGUAUGUUUGAGGCAGGCGGAAUGCGGGGUGUAGCGGUGAAAUGCUGAGAUAUCACGCAGAACCCCGAUUGCGAAGGCAGCCUGCCAAGCCAUGACUGACGCUGAUGCACGAAAGCGUGGGGAUCAAACAGGAUUAGAUACCCCGGUAGUC